CCAAAAAGGGCGUUUUCAAAAACGCUGAACCCAGUUUUGCGUUUGGUAAGCUCAAAACGCAACUUUUUUAUAAAAGUUGCGUUUUGAACUUUUAUAAAAUGUGAGGGCAAAACGCGGAAGGAAAAUGGUGAGGCAGCGGUCCAUAAAUCAAAACGCGCUAUGCGCGUUUUGUCAUAUUACCGUUGCAAUGGGCAAAAAGACCAUUUUACCCAGCAGAAAGUCGCCCCUCAUCUCUCAUCUCUGCUCUCCCUUCGCAUUUUACCUAGCAGAAAGUCGCCCCUCCAUCUCUUCUCUCUGCCUUGCUCUGCCUUCAGUGUGGGAAAAAAAAUUUCGGAUCUUGCUAUGAAUGGUGCUACUAUAUUUCCUUAAACAAAUUCAAGUUUUCCAAAAGUGCAAGUGCCUAGGAAGGUGGUCAAUGUGUGCUCGUUUAUGCUUAUGUAUUGAUGUCAACAUAUAACCUGGAAAAUAGAGAAAGUGUCAAAGACGAGGAUUCGAUUGCUAAGUGUCAAAGACGAGAAAGUGUCAACAGACCCUGCGAUGGUGGUUCUUCGUGAUUCCAUUGCUAAUUCCAUUUGGGGGGAUAAUAAUUAGUAGUUGUCUUUUUUAUAAUAUCCUGUAGUACAAUUUAAACUUGGGUUAUUGGUAUGUAUUUUAUCAUAUUUUUUACAUUUUUGUGUUGUACAAUUUAAACUUAGAUUAUUGAUAUGUAUUUUAUAUGUUUUUACAUUUUUAUGUAGUACAAUUUAAACUUAGAUUAUUGGUGUAUAUUUUAUCAUCUUUUUACAUUUUUA